rnacentral:piRNA from 1 species
CUGACUGCCCCACACAGGCAAAAGCACC